AACAAUUAAAAUAAAAAUUAAACAUUACUCAUAUAAAAAAAAGCCAUACCCUUAACACAAUAAUAAAAUUAACAAUGAUAUCCAUAUAACAAUAAAUUAACAAGAAGCAUUUCAUAUCUAAAACAACAAUUAAAAUAAAAAAAAAUAAAUAAAACAAUAAUAUGACUAGCAGAGUAAAAAAGAGGAGAGGAGAGUAGAGAUUCUGUUUUGAAGA
rnacentral:misc_RNA from 1 species